UAGAGUUUGAUCAUGGCUCAGAACGAACGCUGGCGGCGCGCCUAAUACAUGCAAGUCGAGCGAGAAGGUGUAGCAAUACACUUGUAAAGCGGCGAACGGGUGAGGAAUGCAUGGGUAACCUACCCUCGAGUGGGGAAUAGCUAGCCGAAAGGUUAGCUAAUACCGCAUACGUUUCCGGAACUUCGGUUUCGGAAAGAAAGCAAUACCGUGGGUAUUGCGCUCAUGGAUGGGCUCAUGUCCUAUCAGCUUGUUGGUGAGGUAACGGCUCACCAAGGCUUCGACGGGUAGCUGGUCUGAGAGGACGAUCAGCCACACUGGCACUGCGACACGGGCCAGACUCCUACGGGAGGCAGCAGUAAGGAAUAUUGCGCAAUGGGCGAAAGCCUGACGCAGCGACGCCGCGUGGGGGAUGAAGGUCUUCGGAUUGUAAACCCCUUUCGGGAGGGAAGAUGGAAUGGGGUAACCCAUUCGGACGGUACCUCCAGAAGCAGCCACGGCUAACUUCGUGCCAGCCGCCGCGGUAAUUC
rnacentral:rRNA from 1 species